rnacentral:rRNA from 1 species
GAUCCUGGCUCAGGAUGAACGCUAGCGACAGGCUUAACACAUGCAAGUCGAGGGGCAGCACAGGGUAGCAAUACUUGGGUGGCGACCGGCGCACGGGUGAGUAACGCGUAUGCAACUUACCUAUCAGAGGGGGAUAGCCCGGCGAAAGUCGGAUUAAUACCCCAUGAAACAGGGGUCCCGCAUGGGAAUAUUUGUUAAAGAUUCAUCGCUGAUAGAUAGGCGUGCGUUCCAUUAGGCAGG